UACGGGGGGAGCAAGCGUUGUUCGGAUUUACUGGGCGUAAAGGGCGCGUAGGCGGCGUGACAAGUCACUUGUGAAAUCUCCGGGCUUAACUCGGAACGGUCAAGUGAUACUGUCGUGCUAGAGUACAGAAGGGGCAACUGGAAUUCUCGGUGUAGCGGUGAAAUGCGUAGAUAUCGAGAGGAACACCUGCGGCGAAGGCGGGUUGCUGGGCUGAUACUGACGCUGAGGCGCGAAAGCGUGGGGGAUCAAAACAGG
rnacentral:rRNA from 1 species